ACUUCCAGCUACCAAGUGUCAUUGAAACAUCAUGGGAUACAUUAUAGAAAGAUGAUAACCGACAAAUCGCAAUAAAGAAAACAAAAUGAGGGGUUAAGGAGCUAUCUGAGAAGAUUAGUUUCUGGUUGUCAUUUGAAGGAUACCAGUGAAUCUGCAGUCCGUGUUGGAAUGGGAAGAUCAUACCACCAGCUUGGAACAUUGAAUGUAAAGGUUUUGGAAAGAGACCUAUGGCCUCUCUGCGAUGGUACCACAAGGCGAUGCUCACUCACUGACCCGAGGCUCCUGGAGGGGGUGUAGACCUUCAGCAGCAGGUGGAGGUAAGAGGGUGCAGUGGUUGUCCUGUAAGCAAGCAUCAAUGAUUUGAACUUGAUCCAAGCUACGACCAUUGAACAUGAACUUUUAAAGGCAUCUUUGGAUAUCUUUCAUUGCUAUAUAAGCAUUUUUCAGAUGUUUGCUGAAUUGUGAAUGUUAUUAAAACCUUGACUUUUACAAAUUGCGCUAAAC
rnacentral:lncRNA from 1 species